UUUAAAGUCUAACCUGCCCAAUGAGGAGUUAAAUGGCCGCGGUAUUUUGACCGUGCAAAGGUAGCAUAAUCAUUAGUUUUUUAAUUGAAAGCUGGAAUGAACGGUUGGACGAGAAAACAACUGUCUCAUUUUAAUUUAACUUAGAACUUUAUUUGUAAGUAAAAAAGCUUACAUGAGUUUAAAAGACGAGAAGACCCUAUAGAAUUUUAUAAUCCAUAAUAUUUAUUUUUAUUAGAAUUUUGUCUUUUAUAUGUUGUGGAUUGUUUUGUUGGGGCGAUGGAAAAAUUAAAUGAACUUUUUUUUUAUUUUUGCAUAUUUAUAUGUUUAUAUGAUCCGUUAUUUACGAUUAUAAGAUAAAAUUACCUUAGGGAUAACAGCGUAAUUUUUCUUUAGAGUUCUUAUCGAAAGAAGAGUUUGCGACCUCGAUGUUGGAUUAAAAUUAACUUUUGGUGCAGGAGCUAAAAGGUUAGGUCUGUUCGACCUUUAAAAUUUUACAUGAUCUGAGUUUAAACCGGCGUGAGCCAGGUUGGUUUCUAUCUUUAAAAAUAGUUAAACAUUUUAGUACGAAAGGAUUGAGUGUUUGUAAGAGUUACUGUAUUAUGAAUGUUAAUAA
rnacentral:rRNA from 1 species